rnacentral:lncRNA from 1 species
CUUUUGAUCAUAUAUAGAAAACAAAUCAAAUACUUAUUACGUUGUUAACCUGCUGGGCAAUUUGGCCUUUUUAAGGAUUCCCGUAGAAAAAAGUAAUGAUUUCUUUGUCAAAAAAAAAAAGUAAUGAUUUCUUUUUAUCUUGAAUUUCGGGUUUCCUCCUCUUUUGUCUCUCCUACCGAGACUUUCUUGCGAACACAUUACUGUAUCCCAGUUAAAAAUAAAACACAUAUACUGUAUAAUAUCGUAUUUGAUCAAAAAAAAAAAAAAUAUACUGUAUAAUAUCGUACAAUAUAUUCGUCUGCGACGAUCAUUUAAUGAAAAGGUUCGACAUAACAUGCAAUCAGAAUGACGGACACUCCAGCCAUUUGUUAUCUCCUAUAGUCUUACAUUUUUGAGUGACAAAAAUAUAGGUUUUGAC